rnacentral:rRNA from 1 species
AUUGAACGCUGGCGGCAGGCCUAACACAUGCAAGUCGAGCGGCAGCGGGAAAGUAGCUUGCUACUUUUGCCGGCGAGCGGCGGACGGGUGAGUAAUGCCUGGGAAAUUGCCCAGUCGAGGGGGAUAACAGUUGGAAACGACUGCUAAUACCGCAUACGCCCUACGGGGGAAAGCAGGGGACCUUCGGGCCUUGCGCGACUGGAUAUGCCCAGGUGGGAUUAGCUAGUUGGUGAGGUAAUGGCUCACCAAGGCGACGAUCCCUAGCUGGUCUGAGAGGAUGAUCAGCCACACUGGAACUGAGACACGGCCCAGACUCCUACGGGAGGCAGCAGUGGGGAAUAUUGCACAAUGGGGGAAACCCUGAUGCAGCCAUGCCGCGUGUGUGAAGAAGGCCUUCGGGUUGUAAAGCACUUUCAGCGAGGAGGAAAGGUUGGUGCCUAAUACGUAUCAACUGUGACGUUACUCGCAGAAGAAGCACCGGCUAACUCCGUGCCAGCCGCCGCGGUAAUAC